rnacentral:rRNA from 1 species
GACGAACGCUGGCGGCGUGCUUAACACAUGCAAGUCGAACGGAAAGGCCCUGCUUUUGUGGGGUGCUCGAGUGGCGAACGGGUGAGUAACACGUGAGUAACCUGCCCUUGACUUUGGGAUAACUUCAGGAAACUGGGGCUAAUACCGGAUAGGAGCUCCUGCUGCAUGGUGGGGGUUGGAAAGUUUCGGCGGUUGGGGAUGGACUCGCGGCUCAUCAGCUUGUUGGUGGGGUAGUGGCUUACCAAGGCUUUGACGGGUAGCCGGCCUGAGAGGGUGACCGGCCACAUUGGGACUGAGAUACGGCCCAGACUCCUAAGGGAGGCAACAGUGGGAAAUAGUGCAAAAUGGGCGGAAGCCAGAAGCAGCAACGCCGCGUGCGGGAUGACGGCCUUCGGGUUGUAAACCGCGUUCGCCUGUGACGAAGCGUGAGUGACGGUAAUGGGUAAAGAAGCACCGGCUAACUACGUG